rnacentral:rRNA from 1 species
GUCGACCGCCUGGGGAGUACGGCCGCAAGGUUAAAACUCAAAUGAAUUGACGGGGGCCCGCACAAGCGGUGGAGCAUGUGGUUUAAUUCGAUGCAACGCGAAGAACCUUACCUACUCUUGACAUCCACGGAACUUGCCAGAGAUGGCUUGGUGCCUUCGGGAACCGUGAGACAGGUGCUGCAUGGCUGUCGUCAGCUCGUGUUGUGAAAUGUUGGGUUAAGUCCCGCAACGAGCGCAACCCUUAUCCUUUGUUGCCAGCG